UUUCUUUGUCUGAUGGAAAGGAUAUCAAGGUGGAACAUCCCCUCUCCUUUCCUACAUUUCCCAGCAUGCCUCCAAGAGUGGCCCGGCGGUGCUGAACCACUCGGCCAUCAAGCAUUUCUUGGAGUUGCCCUCCCUCUCCUCGUCCCCCCUCGACCAGGGCUCGGACACCCACUACCUGGGGCCCUCGGUGAUCCUGUCCCAACAGGGCGAGGGGCUGGACAGGGGCCUGGAGGGAGGAUGGGGGCUGGAGAGCAGGCCGGGCCGCAACACAAGGAAGGUCUGUCCAUCAAAGCGGGUAGGUCCGUGGGGUACAGUGCGCUUCCUUCAGCCACGGAACGCACCCCAUCCCGGCCUAAAGUCACAGAGAAGAUUGUGUUGGGUUCCUAUGGCAACUCGGCCUUCCAGCCAAUCACGGCCAGCUGUAAGAUUGUCCCACAGGGUCAGGCACCCAGCCCCUCCGGUUCCCCUGGGAUAUCCUUUCAGCCAAUCACAAUGAGCUGUAAAAUUGUGACAAGGUACGCUACUGCCCCGCUCUGACUAGUAUGAAGUCCUUCUAAACACUAUGACCAGGACAGCGGAGUCAAUCACCACCUUCCGGAGACACCUGAAACCCCACCUCUUCAAGGAAUACCUAGGAUAGGAUAAAGUAAUCCUUCUCACCCCCCCCUUAAAUGAUUUAGAUGCACUAUUGUAAAGUGGCUGUUCCACUGGAUGUCAUAAGGUGAAUUCACCAAUUUGUAAGUCGCUCUGGAUAAGAGCGUCUGCCAAAUGACUUAAAUGUAAUGUAAAUGACCAGCUAUGACCAGUUUGUUUCCCCACUAAUGGUGAGAGUUAGGAUUUAGGUGGGGUAAUCUGAUCCUAGAUCUGAGCCUAAGUGCAACUUCUAUACUGAGCUCUCUGCUUGUCCAUAGGGAGUUAUCCUCUCCUUUUGGGUCAGUUCCUGCAGCACUAUAAGAGACUGUGCUGUGGACUCUGUGCCUCCCACACAGCACCUGAUAAUGCUGUUUUAGACUCCUCUCAGCCACUGUAUUGCCAACACUCCUCUUCCACACACCUCAAGGCUGAAUCUAGUGCACUCUGUCGUGGAAAUUUCAGUACUGAGAGAGACUUGGACAAUUAAUCAAGCAAUCCUCUUUAUUUAACAUCGAUUAAUUAUUGCAAUAAUUAAAUCGUCGACCCUCCUCUCCUCUCCUCUUGUCCUCUCCUCUCCUCUUGUCCUCUCCUCUCUCCUCUUGUCCUCUCCUCUUGUCCUCUCCUCUCUCCUCUUGUCCUCUCCUCUUGUCCUCUCCUCUCCUCUCUCCUCUUGUCCUCUCCUCUCCUCCAAUAACUGAUAACUGCCCUCCUCUCUUCUCUCCUCUUGUCCUCUCCUCUCUUCUCUUGUUCUCUUCUCUCUUGUCCUCUCCUUUCCUCUCCUCUCUUCUCUUGUCCUCUCUGUUACGUUCCCCAGUUUAUGUGUUGUAGUUUGUAUGUUUGCAUGUGUUUAUUUCAGGAAAUGGCUUCCUGAAAUCCAUCAAGCAGCUGAUUGGUUGACUCCAGGGCUAGAUUUGCUAGAGGUAGAUUUGCUAGAGAAAUUUUGCUGAGAGUAGAUUUGCUAGAGAGUUUUGCUGGGAGGUCAUUGCUGAGAGUUGGUAUGUUUAGUGAGUUUGUUGCCCAGAUAGAGCUUAUUUGAGCUCCUUUGUUUCUUAGUUUGUUUGCGAAAAUUGUUUAAUAUUCUGUUUCAUUUGUUCCCAAGGGGGAAGGGUAAGGCACCUAGGGAGUGCUUAGGCAAGAGGCCCGCGGGCAUACAUAUACCCGUAGCAUAUUCGCUGUCUAGGCACACUAGGUAAGACCUGGGCGGACCACCCCCUUGUAUUUUGGUUAGGGCACCAGGUGGUGCUAAAUUAGGUGAGUAGUGGGUAGGCAGGUAAGAUAGGAGAGGGGGGGCUUUGAGAUUUACUUUCUUUGCUUUGGUUCCGUCCAGCCCCUUUUCCCCAUAUUACCGUGUGAAGGAAUAAAGUCCUGGUAAACGGUACCACAU